rnacentral:rRNA from 2 species
GUGCUUAACACAUGCAAGUCGAACGGUAAGGCCCUUCGGGGUACACGAGUGGCGAACGGGUGAGUAACACGUGGGUAAUCUGCCCUGCACAUCGGGAUAAGCCUGGGAAACUGGGUCUAAUACCGGAUAGGACCACAGAACACAUGUCCUGUGGUGGAAAGCUUUUGCGGUGUGGGAUGGGCCCGCGGCCUAUCAGCUUGUUGGUGGGGUGAUGGCCUACCAAGGCGACGACGGGUAGCCGGCCUGAGAGGGUGUCCGGCCACACUGGGACUGAGAUACGGCCCAGACUCCUACGGGAGGCAGCAGUGGGGAAUAUUGCACAAUGGGCGAAAGCCUGAUGCAGCGACGCCGCGUGGGGGAUGACGGCCUUCGGGUUGUAAACCUCUUUCACCAUCGACGAAGGUUCGGGUUUUCUCGGAUUGACGGUAGGUGGAGAAGAAGCACCGGCCAACUACGUGCCAGCAGCCGCGGUAAUACGUAGGGUGCGAGCGUUGUCCGGAAUUACUGGGCGUAAAGAGCUCGUAGGUGGUUUGUCGCGUUGUUCGUGAAAUCUCACGGCUUAACUGUGAGCGUGCGGGCGAUACGGGCAGACUUGAGUACUGCAGGGGAGACUGGAAUUCCUGGUGUAGCGGUGGAAUGCGCAGAUAUCAGGAGGAACACCGGUGGCGAAGGCGGGUCUCUGGGCAGUAACUGACGCUGAGGAGCGAAAGCGUGGGGAGCGAACAGGAUUAGAUACCCUGGUAGUCCACGCCGUAAACGGUGGGUACUAGGUGUGGGUUUCCUUCCUUGGGAUCCGUGCCGUAGCUAACGCAUUAAGUACCCCGCCUGGGGAGUACGGCCGCAAGGCUAAAACUCAAAGAAAUUGACGGGGGCCCGCACAAGCGGCGGAGCAUGUGGAUUAAUUCGAUGCAACGCGAAGAACCUUACCUGGGUUUGACAUGCACAGGACGCCGGCAGAGAUGUCGGUUCCCUUGUGGCCUGUGUGCAGGUGGUGCAUGGCUGUCGUCAGCUCGUGUCGUGAGAUGUUGGGUUAAGUCCCGCAACGAGCGCAACCCUUGUCUCAUGUUGCCAGCGGGUAAUGCCGGGGACUCGUGAGAGACUGCCGGGGUCAACUCGGAGGAAGGUGGGGAUGACGUCAAGUCAUCAUGCCCCUUAUGUCCAGGGCUUCACACAUGCUACAAUGGCCGGUACAAAGGGCUGCGAUGCCGCGAGGUUAAGCGAAUCCUUUUAAAGCCGGUCUCAGUUCGGAUCGGGGUCUGCAACUCGACCCCGUGAAGUCGGAGUCGCUAGUAAUCGCAGAUCAGCAACGCUGCGGUGAAUACGUUCCCGGGCCUUGUACACACCGCCCGUCACGUCAUGAAAGUCGGUAACACCCGAAGCCAGUGGCCUAACC